UUGAUUGAAGGAAUAGCAGGAGCCAAGGGAAAGGAUAUUUUUAUUGUUGAUUCCUAUGUUGUCCCAACAUGGCUGCCUCCCACAAGCUGUGACCCAAUGGCCUCCUUACCUAGGGAUUCUGGUACCAAGGACAUACUUUUCAUUCCCAUCUGGAUUCCUGGGCAUUUUGUACUUUGUGUUUUGAAGCCGACACAGAGAGAGAUAUUUUUCCUUGACUCCAUGUACCAUAAAAAAAGAUUUGGAUUUUCUGCUGUCCAGUACAUGGAACUGUUGAGGUUAAAGCUUGAGUUUAAAGGAGUUUAAGUUCCUUGGUCCAGUUCCAGGAUCAUUAAUAUGACCACGUUCUACUGGUCAUUUUCUGCAUAAGUAUAGCUCAGACCAUCCAGCCUGGCCACUGGGUAGAGAAAACAGGUUUUGAUUUUGAGGCAUUUCCGGUACAGACACAUGGGAAUGACUGUGGGAUUUUUAUGCUGAUGGCUUGUCUAUACAUUGCUGUUGAUGCCCCUUUUGACUACACAGUUGAUGACAUGCCUCAGAUUAGAAAAUGGUGGUGUAUUCUUCUUUUGGAGAAUUUAACACUGGAAAGGCAUGGAAAAAGAUUUGCUCACUGGACAGCAGAAGCUCAUGCUCUUCUGCGAGGAGAGACUGACCCAGUGUUCAGAUUGCCAAGGAGGAACCUAGAGCCUUCCCAGUCUGAAGAGAAGUCCAUGACAACCCAGGAGGAAACUUUAUCUCUCCCACACUCUGAAAAGCCAAAAGUAAUGACAGACCUGAAAACUGCAAGAAAAUGGUACCAAGAUCACCAUGAACUCUUUGAGUCUCCUGUGGUCCUUCCCAGAAUCCUCAGAAUGGAGGAUGGUGAUGUGAUUAGAUCACUGGAGAAACUUAAAAAUACUGAAUAUUACACUGAAGAAGAGAGAGAUACCAUUGUGUAUCCCUUUUUAUUUCAGUUUUCAAAUGUUCAAGACAUGCAUUUGUUUUUAGAAAACACAGCCGACAAGGGCUUAAUCGUGUUUUGUUGUUUAGUGUAGUAGGUUCACUGUACAGUACAUUGUUAUUGUCACAACCGAUCGUUCAGACCUCAUGUGGACCACGCCCACCUCAUUUACCUCGUGUGAAUCCUUGUUACCAGCUUUCCUGUUUGAUCUUGUUUGUCUUGUGUAUUUGUUUGUUUUCUAGUUCAUUCCCCAGAUCUGCCAUUGUUGCUACGUGCCUUGUUCCCUGUUAU